UACAGAGGGGGCAAGCGUUAUUCGGAAUUAUUGGGCGUAAAGGGCGCGUAGGCGGCUUGGCAAGUGGAUGGUGAAAUCCCUCGGCUUAACCGAGGAACUGCCGUCCAAACUGCUUCGCUUGAGACCGGGAGAGGUGAGUGGAAUUCCCCGUGUAGCGGUGAAAUGCGUAGAUAUUGGGAGGAACACCAGUUGCGAAGGCGGCUCACUGGACCGGUACUGACGCUGAUGCGCGCAAGCGCUGGGAGCAAACGGG
rnacentral:rRNA from 1 species